rnacentral:rRNA from 1 species
AUACGGAGGGUGCGAGCGUUAAUCGGAAUUACUGGGCGUAAAGCGCGCGUAGGCGGCUUUGUAAGUCGGAUGUGAAAGCCCUGGGCUCAACCUGGGAAUUGCACUCGAUACUGCAGAGCUAGAGUAUGGUAGAGGGAAGUGGAAUUUCCGGUGUAGCGGUGAAAUGCGUAGAUAUCGGAAGGAACACCAGUGGCGAAGGCGACUUCCUGGGCCAAUACUGACGCUGAGGUGCGAAAGCGUGGGGAGCAAACAGGAUUAGAUACCCCAGUAGUCC